rnacentral:rRNA from 1 species
UGAGGAAUAUUGGUCAAUAGGCGCAAGCCUGAACCAGCCAUCCCGCGUGCAGGAAGACGGCCCUAUGGGUUGUAAACUGCUUUUCCAGGGGGAGAAUUCUUCUGUCGUGACAGGAAUUGACGGUACCCUGGGAAUAAGCAUCGGCUAACUCCGUGCCAGCAGCCGCGGUAAUACGGAGGAUGCGAGCGUUAUCCGGAUUUAUUGGGUUUAAAGGGUGCGUAGGCGGAUUGAUAAGUCAGUGGUGAAAACCUGCAGCUUAACUGUAGACGUGCCGUUGAUACUGUCAGUCUUGAGUGUGGUCAAGGUAGGCGGAAUGUGUAAUGUAGCGGUGAAAUGCGUAGAUAUUACACAGAACACCGAUUGCGAAGGCAGCUUACUGGGCCAUUACUGACGCUGAUGCACGAAAGCGUGGGGAUCGAACAG